UGGAAGAAUGCCUUCCAGAUGUUGUUUAAAAUAAAUGAAGGAAGUUUGGUGACAAAAAUAGAAAGAAACUAUCAUCAGAGUGUACGGACGACCUAUAGAAUGGGAGAAGAAUUUUGCAAUCCACCCUUCUGACAAAGGAAUAAUAUCCAGAAUUUACAAGGAAUUUAAACAAAUUUACAAGAAAAAAAAAACAGUCCCAUCCAAAAGUGAAGAAAGGAUAUGAACUGACACUUCUUAAAAGAAGACUUCUAUGCUGCCAGCAAAUAUAUGAAAAAAAGCUCAACAUCACUGAUCAUCAGAGAAAUGCAAAUCAAAACCACAAUGAGAUACCAUCUCACACCAGACAGGGUGGCAGUUAUUAGAAAGUCAGGAAACAAUAGAUGCUGGCAAGGCUGUGGAGAAAUAGGAAAGCCUUUACACUGUUGGUGGGAGUGUUAAUUAGUUCAGCCAUUGUAGAAUACAGUAUGGCAAUUCCUCAAGGAUCUAGAACAAGAAAUACCAUUUGACUCAACAAUCCCAUUACUGGGUAUUUACCCAAAGGAAUAUAAAUCAUUCUACUAUAAAGACACAUGCACACAUACGUUUAUUCCAGCACUAUUUACCAGAGCAAAGACAUGGAGCCAACCCAAAUGCCCAUCAAUGAUAGAUUGGAUAAAAAAAAAAAAAUGUGGGACAUAUACACCAUGGAAUACUAUGCAGCCAUGAAAAAAUGAGAUCAUGUCCUUUGCAGGGACAUGGAUGAAGCUGGAAGACAUUAUCCUCAGCAAACUAACACAGGAAGAGAAAACCAAACAUCACAUGUUCUCACUCAUAAGGGAGUGUUGAACAAUGAGAAGACAUGGACACAGAGAGGGGAACAACACACACCAGGGCCUUUGAGGGGUGGGGGAUGAUGGGAAGGAAUUAGAGGUUGAGUCAGUAGAUGCAGCAAACCACCAUGUCACACGUAUAUCUAGGUAAAAAACCUGCACAUUCUGCACAUAUAUCCUUUUUGCUUUUUUGUUUUAAUUUGGGAUUUUAGAAGAAAUAAAGAAAAACAACUUAAAAAAGAAUGCAAGCUCCUAGAGGAAGGGUAGGUUGGAGGGUGGAUAGGGAAAGGGGAGAUGUUGGUGAAAAGAUGCAAGGUUUUAAUAAAGAGGAAUAGGUUUUAGUAAUCUCUUGCAGAGCAGAAAGACCAUUGUUAAUAAUAACAUAUUUUA
rnacentral:lncRNA from 1 species